rnacentral:lncRNA from 1 species
CAAGCCUGGGCAAUGGCGGGCGCCCCUCCCCCAGCCUCGCUGCCGCCUUGCAGUUUGAUCUCAGACUGCUGUGCUAGCAAUCAGCGAGACUCCCUGGGCAUAGGACCCUACGAGCCAGGUGCGGGAUAUAAUCUCGUGUUGCACCGUUUUUUAAGCCUGUCGGAAAAGCGCAGUAUUCUGGUGGGAGUGACCCGAUUUUCCAGGUGCCGUCCAUCACUCCUUUCUUUGACUCAGAAAGGGAACUCCCUGACCCCUUGCGCUUCCCAAGUGAGGCAAUGCCUCGCCCUGCUUCGGCUCGCGCACGGUGCACGCACCCACUGACCUGCGCCCACUGUCUGGCACUCCCUAGUGAGAUGAACCCGGUACCUCAGAUGGAAAUGCAGAAAUCACCCGUCUUCUGCGUCGCUCACGCUGGGAGCUGUAGACCGGAGCUGUUCCUAUUCGGCCAUCUUGGCUCCUCCCUCUGAAGAGUCCAACAGAAAAUUUUAAGUACCUGUUUAAAGCAAUUUACAAGAUACUGUGGAGAUUCCCAGCAAUAAAGAAUGUACUAUAGUUAAGCUGGAAUCCAACUCCUGAAUUUCUGGAGCCCUGAAGACCACUUAGUCUUACUCACAAGAAUUGAAUGGAAUGUGAAUCUACACUCAGGUGAAGCCAGGGUAUUUUGAACGUCCCUACAAGACUGAAGCACCACUGGGAAAUAAGUAAUAGAGAUGCCAUCAUUGUGGAGGUCAUAAUGCUUGUCCUGAACACGAGGGGUCUCUAGUGAGGCACCAAUUCAGCUCCUCUUCUGUGGAGAGACUACAUGGGUGCUGAAGAAACAAAGACACAACGCAGCUCCUCUCAAAGGAGUUCAGAGCUUAGCAGGGGAGACAGAACCAUGAAUGCAUAGUUACGCAUCAAUGUGCUGCACGAGCACUGAAGCCCAAGCACAAGCGGCCUGAGUCCCAAGAUGGGGUCUUGCUACAUUGCCUAAGCUGGUCUUGAACUCCUGGACUCAAGCAAUCCUCCUGUCUUGACCUCCCAAACUGUUAGGAUUACAGGCGUGAGCCACUGUGCAUGGCCCAUUCACAGAUUACAUUAUAAGAAGCAGAAGAAGACUAGUGAGAUAUGAAGUGACGUGUAACUCACUCACUAACUCUACCAUGUGGAAGUCAAAUGCUUUGUGUUCACUUCAAGGGAAAGUAUAAAAUUGUGGAUUAAAUAACUUAAUGAAAUAUAUAUGUAUAUGCCUGUGUGUGUGUGGGUUUGUGUGUAUGCAUAUAUUAGUGGGAAAGAUGGAAAUGAAAAUCAGUAUUUCUUAGUCUCUUACUUUAAUUGUUAGGUCAUGC